AUUCGCAGAACCCAAUUGUAUCAUUCUUCUGCCCCGCUCGCGCGCCGCCAUCUUCCCCAAAUGUCCCCGCCGCCGCGCGGUCGACCCCUCUCCCAAAUCUCAUCCAUGCGCGCUCUCCCCAAAUCCCCCAAAGUCCUUCGUGCUCUACCGCCUCGCGUCCUCUGCUCCUCUCCCAAAUCUCAUCCAAAGCCGCGCGCCGCUACCCGCCCAGUGCUCCUCUCCCAAAUCCAUCCCACCUCCUCCGUCCGCCACUCAACAGGAGCCGCCGGCCGCCGCGUCCAGGAGCCGCGCCGCUGCCCGCCCGCUGUUCCUCUUCCAAAUCCACCCUGUGUCGCGCCUGCCUGCCAUUCACCGGAGCGGGAGACCGGGCAGCCCCGUCGGUCGCGGUGUCCGGGAGCCGCCGCAUCGACCCACGGGAGAGCAGGAGGCGCACCACCCACCGCUUGAGCUGCAAGAAACGCUGGACCCGCAGGAGGCUGCGGGUGGCGAGAGCGCGUGAGGGACCUGCGGGAGCUGGGGCGUGCCUUGUGCUCGCAUCCGUGCUUGGGACCUCCCAGGAGGAGCGGAUGCUGCACAGUAUGGAACACAUCCAUUCGUGCGGGCGCAGAGCGCAUCGAUGGCGGCGGCCGCGAAGCCGCUUGGGGCCGCAUCGAUCCCCUUGCCUGCCUGACUGCCCGAGCCCUCAUCACGCUCCAUCUUUCAAUCUCCAUCAAGAUACUUACUGACAAGGAAUAAGGAGAACAAGGAAAAACGAUCUUGGUCAUGCACCUCUGGAAGAAAUGGCCAGUGUUCGAUCAUAUUUAGCUUGCUGAAGGACCAGCUGCAGUUGGCAAACAAUAUCUGUUCAAACUUGAUUAUACUGUAAACAAACUAGGUAUGGUUUUUGCAAUUUGUCAUAGUUCUCAGCGUACCUACAUGCUUAUGUUCGUGUGUGUGUACUCAUAGCUUGUGUUGGUGUGUGUGUAACUGUGUAUUUUGGGAGAGGGGAUAAAGCCUAUAAAUUUUACACUUGAUCAUUAUUCUCAGUUUGUUUGCAUGCCUUUUUCUUGGUUGAUUUUCCCCAAUUUCAACCAUGCCGCAAAGGCAUAACAGAUGUUAUAAGAGAUGAGAAUAAUUUAAAGGGACACAUUGUUAUGGUUACACUGGUUAUUCUUGUAACAAAAAAGACCCUCAAUACUGAUUUUGUAUGUUUCUAAUUAUUUUUCCCCUUCAAGGUGCGAGCACAAAUGCCUGAUCGCAGAGGGAGGGCAUGCUUCUUUUGUCUACCAGUUCCAGCUCAUUGAAAUUGUGUUUCUUCUGAACUUCCUCGAGUUAAAACUAGGAUCUCCAAGAGGAUGCUUUAUAAGGAGUCUCCAAGAGGAUGCUUUAUAAGGAGUCAAGUGCUUAGCUGUGUUCUUGGUAUAUAUGUAGCUUUUUAGGUUGUGUUUAUAGGCUAGGUCUUCUCUGCAGUUAAGUCUUUUGGCGUUCCUGAGCGCCUUUUGGUGUUUACUGUGAUGGAAAAUUUGGCUGUAUAUGCUUCUUGUAAUUUCUGGCUUAUAUGGAAUCCUUUGUCUGCAGUUCUGGGAAAACAUUGGACAACUAAUAUUUGUAUGGGGGAUCAAUGUCAAUGUUUGUAUGCUCAUAUUGAAUCUGUUGGCUUCAAAUGAAAACCAUCGGUCAAGUGUGUUUGUUUUGUAUUGUUUCAAAAAAUUGUUGUAUGAUCAAUGAGAGAUUAAUUAUAUUAUUUUCUAUGGAUUC